rnacentral:rRNA from 2 species
AGCAUCCGUAGCCGGUUGCAUAAGUUUUCGGUUAAGUCUAUGCGCUCAACGUAUAGGCCGCCGAAAAUACUGUGCAGCUAGGGAGUGGGAGAGGUACACGGUACUCAGUAGGAAGGGGUAAAAUCCUUUGAUCUAUUGAUGACCACCUGUGGCGAAGGCGGUGUACCAGAACACGUUCGACGGUGAGGGAUGAAAGCUGGGGGAGCAAACCCGAUUAGAUACCCGGGUAGUCCCAGCUGUAAACGAUGCAGACUCGGUGAUGCAUUGGCUUGUGGCCAAUGCAGUGCCGCAGGGAAGCCGUUAAGUCUGCCGCCUGGGAAGUACGUACGCAAGUAUGAAACUUAAAGGAAUUGGCGGGGGAGCACAAGCCGAA